GAUGAACGCUAGCGAUAGGCUUAACACAUGCAAGUCGAGGGGCAGCACAAGGUAGCUUGCUAUCUGGGUGGCGACCGGCGCACGGGUGCGUCACGCGUAUGCAACUUGCCCUAUACAGGAGGAUAACCCGACGAAAGACGGACUAAUACUGUGUAUGCUCACAACUUGGCAUCAAGUGGUGAGGAAAGAAAUUCGGUAUAGGAUAGGCAUGCGUCCCAUUAGCUUGUUGGUGAGGUAACGGCUCACCAAGGCAACGAUGGGUAGGGGAACUGAGCGGUUUAUCCCCCACACUGGUACUGAGACACGGACCAGACUCCUACGGGAGGCAGCAGUGAGGAAUAUUGGUCAAUGGGCGCGAGCCUGAACCAGCCAAGUCGCGUGAAGGAUGACUGUCUUAUGGAUUGUAAACUUCUUUUAUACGGGAAUAACAAGAGUCACGUGUGACUCCCUGCAUGUACCGUAUGAAUAAGCAUCGGCUAACUCCGUG
rnacentral:rRNA from 1 species